GCUUUUUGAUAGUCAGUGGGAAAUUAUCUGGGUUGGCCUCUCGAAUAGUUAGGAUUAUAGGUGUGAGCCACUGGUGCUCAGCUUGGUCUUACUUAGUUUAGACCACCCUCUCAAGCCCUCUUUUAAGCUUUAAAAAGCUCAGGUUGGUUGUUCUGUAUAAAAUAUCUGAACAUCUAGAUUGAUGUUUAUUUUAUCAAAUUCAGGUUGACGGUUUUUGAUAGGUAUUACCUAGCUGUAUUCCUUCCCAUUGUACUACCUUAGAAGCCUGAUAUA